AGUGAACGCUGGCGGUAGGCCUAACACAUGCAAGUCGAACGGCAGCACAGUAAGAGCUUGCUCUUACGGGUGGCGAGUGGCGGACGGGUGAGGAAUACAUCGGAAUCUACUUUUUCGUGGGGGAUAACGUAGGGAAACUUACGCUAAUACCGCAUACGACCUACGGGUGAAAGCAGGGGAUCUUCGGACCUUGCGCGAUUGAAUGAGCCGAUGUCGGAUUAGCUAGUUGGCGGGGUAAAGGCCCACCAAGGCGACGAUCCGUAGCUGGUCUGAGAGGAUGAUCAGCCACACUGGAACUGAGAAACGGUCCAGACUCCUAGGGGAGGCAGCAGUGGGGAAUAUUGGACAAUGGGCGAAAGCCUGUUCAAGCCAUACGGCGUGGGUGAAGAAGGCCUUCGGGUGGUAAAGCCCUUUUGUUGGGAAAGAAAGGCAGCAGGUUAAUACCCCGCUGUUCUGACGGUACCCAAAGAAUAAGCACCGGCUAACUUCGU
rnacentral:rRNA from 1 species